rnacentral:misc_RNA from 1 species
AUCUCGAGCAGCUGACCACGAAAUAAACCCGACUCGAACAAUGGUUCUCUCAAAACUUAAGAUUAAAGAAAACAUAUAAAAGUUCUUGAAUAUAAAUGUGACUGUUCAAAAGAAAUCCCGACUCUAAACUUCCAGACUUUUUUCCCCAACUUAUUGUAACUAUCUCCAACCCUUUUUUCUCAACUUUUUCCCAAAAUUUCUUUGCUCUUUUCUCCAACUCCUAGCAAUGAA